AUGGAGAGAUGGAGAGGUUAUUACCCAAAAACACACAGCCAAUAAAUGGUGAAAGCAAGAUUUAAAUGUGGGUCCAGGGAGUUCCCCUUGUGACUCAGUGGGUUACAAACAUGAUUGGUAUCUAUGACAAUGCAGGUUCCAUCCCUGGCCUCUCUCGGGUUAAAGAUCCCGAAAGCUGUGGUGUAGGUGGCAGACACAGCUUGGAUCCCAUGUUGCUGUGGCUGUGGUGCAGGCUGGCAGUGCCAGCUCUAAUUGAACCCCUAGCCUGGGAACUUCCAUAGCUACAGGUCCACCCUAAAUAGCCAGAAAAAAAAAAAGUGGGUCCAGAGUUCCUUCUUCUUUUAUUACAACCUGUUUGUUUUGUUUUGUUUUCGUUUUUUGUGGGGUUUUUUUGUUUGUUGUUUUGUUUUGUUUUUUUAAGCACAGGGAGAACAUAGUAUCCAAGGAAGAAAACAAAUUUUCAACAAAAAUACCCCAAAGAGUUCAUGUUGUCCUAACAGCAAAUCUCCUCCUAAAUUUUGGGAAAUAUACUUAUAUUUUCCCAUUUGUUUCUUUGGUAAGAGGACUGUCUCUUUCCCCCAAAGCCCUAUAAACCAGCGCUGUCCAAUAGGAUUUUCUGUGAAGAUGGAAACAGCCUAUAAUCUUGCUGCCUAAUAUGGUAGCUAUUGGCCUCAUGUUGCUGUUGAAUAAGUGUAAUAUGCACUCAGGAUUUCAGAGUCUUUGUAGAAUAGAGGAAGGUAAAAUAACUCACUGACACUUUAAAAAAAUUAUUGCAUGGUAAAAUGAUAAUAUAUUUGGCUAAAUUUAACAUAUUUUAAAAUUAAUUUUACCUUUUUUCUUUUUUUUUUUCACUUGUUGAACGUGGCUACUAGAAAACUUAGAAUUGCGUAUGUUGGCUGCAUGAUAUUUCUAUUGGCAUCAUAUGAUCUAGGUCGUUUGUCUAUGAAUAUGUUUAUAUAUUUACAAUUAUGUAUGUGUAUGUAUGUAUAUCUGUGUGUGUAUGUAUGUAUAUCUACCAUCUAUCUAUUGAUGGUCAUUUUAUUUUUAAUAGAAACAGUAUCACGUAGUAUACAAUGCUUUACAAUUUGUUAUCAUUUCAGAGUAAUUAGGGUUUUUUUUCCCCUCAUGUUGGUACAUAUAAAUCAACAUCAUUCUCUUAAUUACUAUAUAGCAGUGCUUAAACUGAUUUAUGAGUUGCUCAUCCAUUGAUACACAGUACAUGCUUGGAUGGAUAUAAAGUAUCAGAAGAGAAGCAGGUGCAAUUCUGGAGAAUACAGCCUUUUAAGAGGUGGACAGAGGUUAGCCCUGCAGACUGGUUUGAGAGAUAGGACCUACCCAGGACAGAGGUAUUGACAGAAACCGAGAGAUUGAAGUUCCAAGAAGGGUCAAUGGGAAUUGAUACGAAGAAUUCAAAAAAGUGAGCUUCUAAAGACUAGCGUCUGGAUGUAGCAACUAAAGAGGUGAUGGCUCACUGAGGAAGUGAGCAGAAGGAUGUCUGGAUUCCGGUGGGUUGAGGAUCAAAUAGGAAAUGCAGCAAUAGAGGAUAUGGAUGCAGGCUUGCUUCUCUUUUUGAAUCCUGUAGAAUUUUUUUUUGUUUUUCUCAUGACAGAAGUAUUUAUGCCCUGGCAAUUUUAUUCCUAUAGGGUGAAUUUUCAGAAGUGGAUCAUUGGGUUUGUGUAUUUUUAAAAAUUUUACAGACAUUUCUAAUUUAGGUUCCCAAAAGGUUGUAACAAUUCAACCAGAACAUGUGACAGUGAGAAUUCCCCCCAAUGUUUCCCAGUUCUGUGUUUUCUCUUUUCUUUCAAUUCUACUAAUCUAAUAGGCAGAAAAUGAUAUCUCUUCUUUAAAUUUAUUCUGUUUUCUUGAUUACAAAUGAGUUUGAUCAUUUUUACAUGGAUUUUUAAAUUACUUCUACUGAGAAUUCUCUAUUCUCUGUUUAUUUUUGUACUGUUGGGUUUUUUCUUUUUAUAAUUAAAAUAUCUUUUUGUACAUUACGGAGAUUAAUCCCAUUUCUACAAUAUAUGCUGUGCAAAUUUCUCCUGAGACCAUCACGGGUGUUUGACUUUUUUUUUAAUUGAACUGUAGUUUAUUUACAAUAUUAUAUUAGUUUCAGGUGUACAUCAUAGUGAUAUAGAAUCUUUGUAUAACCUUAUGUUGUUGACGAUCCUUCAGAAAAUGAAACUUAGAGAUUCGCUGGUGGCCUAGGUUAAGGAUCCAGGUGUUGUCACUACUGUGGCUCAGGUCACUGCUCUGGCAUGGGUUCCAUGGGAACUUUCACAUGUGGCAGGAGUUCCCAUCGUGGCGCAGUGGUUAACGAAUCCGACUAGGAACAAUGAGGUUGCGGGUUCGGUCCCUGCCCUUGCUCAGGGGGUUAAGGAUCCGGCAUUACCAUGAGCUGUGGUGUAGGUUGCAGACGCAGCUCGGAUCUGGCAUUGCUGUGUCUCUGGCGUAGGCCGGCAGCUACAGCUCCGAUUCGACGCCUAGCCUGGGAAUCUCCAUAUGCCACGGGAGCGGCCCAAGAAACG
rnacentral:lncRNA from 1 species